rnacentral:rRNA from 1 species
UGUGAACUCGAAGAGUAGGGCGGGACACGUGGUAUCCUGUCUGAAUAUGGGGGGACCAUCCUCCAAGGCUAAAUACUCCUGACUGACCGAUAGUGAACCAGUACCGUGAGGGAAAGGCGAAAAGAACCCCGGCGAGGGGAGUGAAAAAGAACCUGAAACCGUGUACGUACAAGCAGUGGGAGCACCUUCGGGUGUGACUGCGUACCUUUUGUAUAAUGGGUCAGCGACUUAUAUUCUGUAGCAAGGUUAACCGUAUAGGGGAGCCGAAGGGAAACCGAGUCUUAACUGGGCGUUAAGUUGCAGGGUAUAGACCCGAAACCCGGUGAUCUAGCCAUGGGCAGGUUGAAGGUUGGGUAACACUAACUGGAGGACCGAACCGACUAAUGUUGAAAAAUUAGCGGAUGACCUGUGGCUGGGGGUGAAAGGCCAAUCAAACCGGGAGAUAGCUGGUUCUCCCCGAAAGCUAUUUAGGUAGCGCCUCGUGAACUCAUCUUCGGGGGUAGAGCACUGUUUCGGCUAGGGGGCCAUCCCGGCUUACCAACCCGAUGCAAACUACGAAUACCGAAGAAUGUUAUCACGGGAGACACACGGCGGGUGCUAACGUCCGUCGUGAAGAGGGAAACAACCCAGACCGCCAGCUAAGGUCCCAAAGUCAUGGUUAAGUGGGAAACGAUGUGGGAAGGCCCAGACAGCCAGGAUGUUGGCUUAGAAGCAGCCAUCAUUUAAAGAAAGCGUAAUAGCUCACUGGUCGAGUCGGCCUGCGCGGAAGAUGUAACGGGGCUAAACCAUGCACCGAAGCUGCGGCAGCGACACUAUGUGUUGUUGGGUAGGGGAGCGUUCUGUAAGCCGUUGAAGGUGGUCUGUGAGGGCUGCUGGAGGUAUCAGAAGUGCGAAUGCUGACAUAAGUAACGAUAAAGCGGGUGAAAAGCCCGCUCGCCGGAAGACCAAGGGUUCCUGUCCAACGUUAAUCGGGGCAGGGUGAGUCGACCCCUAAGGCGAGGCCGAAAGGCGUAGUCGAUGGGAAACAGGUUAAUAUUCCUGUACUUGGUGUUACUGCGAAGGGGGGACGGAGAAGGCUAUGUUAGCCGGGCGACGGUUGUCCCGGUUUAAGCAUGUAGGCGGAGGUUCCAGGUAAAUCCGGUACCUUUUAACGCUGAGGUGUGAUGACGAGGCACUACGGUGCUGAAGUAACAAAUGCCCUGCUUCCAGGAAAAGCCUCUAAGCAUCAGGUAACAUCAAAUCGUACCCCAAACCGACACAGGUGGUCAGGUAGAGAAUACCAAGGCGCUUGAGAGAACUCGGGUGAAGGAACUAGGCAAAAUGGUGCCGUAACUUCGGGAGAAGGCACGCUGAUAUGUAGGUGAAGCCCCUGCGGGUGGAGCUGAAAUCAGUCGAAGAUACCAGCUGGCUGCAACUGUUUAUUAAAAACACAGCACUGUGCAAACACGAAAGUGGACGUAUACGGUGUGACGCCUGCCCGGUGCCGGAAGGUUAAUUGAUGGGGUUAGCGGCAACGCGAAGCUCUUGAUCGAAGCCCCGGUAAACGGCGGCCGUAACUAUAACGGUCCUAAGGUAGCGAAAUUCCUUGUCGGGUAAGUUCCGACCUGCACGAAUGGCGUAAUGAUGGCCAGGCUGUCUCCACCCGAGACUCAGUGAAAUUGAACUCGCUGUGAAGAUGCAGUGUACCCGCGGCAAGACGGAAAGACCCCGUGAACCUUUACUAUAGCUUGACACUGAACACUGGUCCUUGAUGUGUAGGAUAGGUGGGAGGCUUUGAAGCGUGGACGCCAGUCUGCGUGGAGCCGUCCUUGAAAUACCACCCUUUAAUGGCUGGUGUUCUAACGUAGACCCGUAAUCCGGGUUGCGGACAGUGUCUGGUGGGUAGUUUGACUGGGGCGGUCUCCUCCCAAAGAGUAACGGAGGAGCACGAAGGUUAGCUAAUCCUGGUCGGACAUCAGGAGGUUAGUGCAAUGGCAUAAGCUAGCUUGACUGCGAGAGUGACGGCUCGAGCAGGUGCGAAAGCAGGUCAUAGUGAUCCGGUGGUUCUGAAUGGAAGGGCCAUCGCUCAACGGAUAAAAGGUACUCCGGGGAUAACAGGCUGAUACCGCCCAAGAGUUCAUAUCGACGGCGGUGUUUGGCACCUCGAUGUCGGCUCAUCACAUCCUGGGGCUGAAGUAGGUCCCAAGGGUAUGGCUGUUCGCCAUUUAAAGUGGUACGCGAGCUGGGUUUAGAACGUCGUGAGACAGUUCGGUCCCUAUCUGCCGUGGGCGCUGGAGAAUUGAGGGGGGCUGCUCCUAGUACGAGAGGACCGGAGUGGACGCAUCACUGGUGUUCGGGUUGUCAUGCCAAUGGCACUGCCCGGUAGCUAAAUGCGGAAGAGAUAAGUGCUGAAAGCAUCUAAGCACGAAACUUGCCCCGAGAUGAGUUCUCCCUGAGACUUAAAGUCUCCUGAAGGAACGUUGAAGACGACGACGUUGAUAGGUCGGGUGUGUAAGCGCAGCGAUGCGUUGAGCUAACCGAUACUAAUGAACCGUGAGGCUUAACCUU